rnacentral:tRNA from 3 species
AGGUGUUUAGUUUAAGAAAAACAUUUGAUUUCGGCUCAAAAGCCCCUGGUUCAAGUCCAUGUACGCCUA